AGAGACAGCAGUAGCCACGGGAAUACGGAGGAUCCAAGCGUUAUCCGGAAUCAUUGGGUUUAAAGGGUCCGUAGGCGGUUUAGUAAGUCAGUGGUGAAAGCCCAUCGCUCAACGGUGGAACGGCCAUUGAUACUGCUGAACUUGAAUUAUUAGGAAGUAACUAGAAUAUGUAGUGUAGCGGUGAAAUGCUUAGAGAUUACAUGGAAUACCAAUUGCGAAGGCAGGUUACUACUAAUUGAUUGACGCUGAUGGACGAAAGCGUGGGGAGCGAACAGGAUUAGAUACCCGCGUAGUCCCUGUCUCUUAUAC
rnacentral:rRNA from 1 species